rnacentral:rRNA from 1 species
GGAAACAGAUGCUAAUACCGGAUAAAAAGCUACUUUUCGCAUGAAAAGAAGUUUUAAAAAAGGACGGCGUAAAAGCUGUCGCUAAAGGAUGGACCUGCGAUGCAUUAGCUAGUUGGUAAGGUAACGGCUUACCAAGGCGAUGAUGCAUAGCCGAGUUGAGAGACUGAUCGGCCACAUUGGGACUGAGACACGGCCCAAACUCCUACGGGAGGCAGCAGUAGGGAAUCUUCCACAAUGGACGCAAGUCUGAUGGAGCAACGCCGCGUGAGUGAAGAAGGUUUUCGGAUCGUAAAGCUCUGUUGUUGGUGAAGAAGGAUAGAGGUAGUAACUGGCCUUUAUUUGACGGUAAUCAACCAGAAAGUCACGGGCUAACUACGUGCCAGCAGCCGCGGUAAAU